UCACAAUCAAACCCUCACAUAUUUUUCUGUUCUGAUUUAAGAAACCAUCAAACUCCCUCCCUCCCAUCUUUUGUAAAAACCUUCAAAAUCACCUCUCACAAACCCACCAUCAAACCGCUCCAUCCCCGGGAAAAACCCUCAAGAUCCAAGAAAGAAACACCACCGGCUCCACAUCAAGGUAGCCCAAGGGAAGUGUUGGUGGUCCUCGCUUUGUGCACACAUAGCCUCGGCGAAAUUCGAAAGAAAAAGAACAAAGGAAUGAAACCAAGAAAAGUUUGCACACGUAGCCUCAGCGAAUGAGCCACGAUGGAGUUAGUGGUGGAGUGCGCCGACGACGGCCGACUCAAGCCGGAGAACAUGAUGGGGCCUGAUGGGCCCCUAUCCAAAGGCAGCACCCACAGGAGAAGCAGCAACAGAGGUUGGGUACAAUACAGAAAAAUCGAAAAUAGAAAAAACCCACAGGAAACUUAGCCAGUGUAUAGUAUGAGCAGAGCAAUCAUGAUAUGGCAAUACUCAACUACAAGCGAGCAAUAACAUGGCAAUGCAUUAAAAGAUGCUGGGAGAGUGGAGGAAUAAAUCCACUGUUACCAAGUUAGUGCUUUCUUACUCUUAUUCAAUUGCUUGUUGUGUAGGAACAUCAUGAGUGUUGCAGCUCAGUGCUACAAGGCAACACUAGCUGUUACAACAGGACUUUCUGCCCCUCUCAUUAACUUAGCUGUAAUAUACAAGCAGCAGAGUAAUUAUGCAGAUGCAAUAUCUUGCUACAAUGAGGUCUCCAUAGGCAGCUGAUGGCAGAUACUUGACUGAAGAGAAGUUCAAAGCAUAUGUUAUUGUCUAUAACCAUCCAAAAGCAAUCAAAGCGUGCUAUGCGAAGGUCAAUGAAGACGAUAAAACUGAUGCUGCGAUGGAUGUGCUUGUACCUAACGCAGGCGCUUAUUCCUCUCUCUCCUUUCCUCCCCUUCUCUCUAUGACAUUAUUUUUCCAAGUAGAUUGGAACCUUAUGUGUAAUUCAUUAAUAAAGCUUGUUCUGAAUUUUCAAUAAUUUCACUACUUGUGCUUGCUAGGUGGGGAAACUUAUUGGCUGUAUCCAAAAAGAAGAGAACUAUGACAUUCUCAAGCUAAGCUACCAGGUGAAUGUGUUUGAGGUGGCAACGAGGAGGAAUAUUACAGCUAUGUUGGAGGCUGGGGCUUUGAAAAUAAUGACACAGAUGAUGAUUAAAGAAAGUAAAAGUCUUUGCAUAGUGAUUAUGGUGGAUUUUAAAAGCUGAGGGUGAGAAUAAAGAUCAGAAGCAGAAGUGUCGGUUAGCCUUUGAAUUCGAGGUAGUUGGUGAAGAGCUCCCAACUGAUGAAUCCGCUGCUCCGAACCAAGCCAGUGUUGCUGAACCAGGUCCAGCUUCUGCAAAUCAGGGCCCCCCUGCCGACCAAGGCGUCGCUCCAAUGGAUAUCUGAUGAUGUCAUCUUAUGGUUAAAGAAAUGAUUUUCGUGUCUUGAAACUUCCAAUACCAUGAUCUACUGAACGGAAUUGCUGGUAGUAUUUGGAUGCUUGUUUUAUGAGCAGCAAUCAGAUUGUACAUCUUCAGUGAAAUUAUUUUAGUUUAUCCUUUUAUGCCUUGCCUUAUAUUAUUUUCUGUGAACACUGUACGGUGCUCUUUAUUCGGGUUGGGAUACAAUGAUGAACGUUGCUUGUUGGGAACCAAUAGCUUAUGAUGUUCAUUAGCGUUUUUAUUUAGGAAGCAGGCUAAUGGAUCUCUUUCUAAAGUAGCCGAGGGUGGUACAUAUG